GCGGGAAUAGUUCAGUGGUAGAGCGCAACCUUGCCAAGGUUGACUGUGAGGGUUCGAUCCCCUUCACCCGCUCCA
rnacentral:tRNA from 1 species